UGGAAGAGAUUUAGUUCUUCGAGGCCGC
rnacentral:sRNA from 1 species